rnacentral:rRNA from 1 species
UACGUAGGGACCGAGCGUUGUCCGGAAUUACUGGGCGUAAAGAGCUCGUAGGUGGUUUGUCGCGUUGUUCGUGAAAACUCACAGCUUAACUGUGGGCGUGCGGGCGAUACGGGCAGACUGGAGUACUGCAGGGGAGACUGGAAUUCCUGGUGUAGCGGUGGAAUGCGCAGAUAUCAGGAGGAACACCGGUGGCGAAGGCGGGUCUCUGGGCAGUAACUGACGCUGAGGAGCGAAAGCGUGGGGAGCGAACAGG